UACGUAGGGUGCAAGCGUUGUCCGGAAUUAUUGGGCGUAAAGAGCUCGUAGGCGGCUUGUCACGUCGACUGUGAAAACCCGGGGCUCAACUCCGGGCCUGCAGUCGAUACGGGCUGGCUUGAGUGCGGUAGGGGAGACUGGAAUUCCUGGUGUAGCGGUGAAAUGCGCAGAUAUCAGGAGGAACACCGGUGGCGAAGGCGGGUCUCUGGGCCGCAACUGACGCUGAGGAGCGAAAGCGUGGGGAGCGAACAGG
rnacentral:rRNA from 1 species